UGGCCCGCAGGUCGGCCGCGCGCCGCCUCCGCCUCCCGGGUAGCAGCCCCCGCCCCGGGCAGCACCUGGACGAACGGGCUUUCCCGGCACUUCCAGGAGGGAUGGAUAACGGGAAAGAGUUUAACUUUCUUUCUAGGCCACUAGGGAUGUUGGCUGCAUGUCGGGUGAUUUGCCCCAGGUUUUGAGUUUUCUCGUUUCUGGACUAAGAAGGAAAGUCCAGGACCUCUGCUCCAGGGCAGCAUUCCAGCGGGAUGGAGUGACACCCGGCGGAGGCGGGGGCGGCCCGGGAGGGAGGGGCUGCGGGCCUCGGGCUGGGCCGGUGGGUCGGAGCCCAGCUCCUGCGCGCCAUCAGGUACCAUCAGAAAGACUGUGCAGCACUUAAAUCCCAAAGCACACUGAUCGUGUGGAAUGCUUCUUACUUUUUUAAGGAAGAGAGAGGAUAAUUUCUAGAUUUCCAUUAACCGUUUACUCUGUUCCGCUUAUCAAUGAGUCACUGAAUUGCGGGGCCCUGAGGGGACGAAGCGCAAGGCGCUCUGGUUUAGCAACGGUGCCUAUCCUGUGAUCUUCUGUCGUAAACUUAUAGAGGCCCUGAGUCACUCGUUUUAAACUACUACGCGGAAGUUUCUAUAGAACUGUUUCCAAGGAGGAAAUGGACUCAUUAAUUCCACAAUUAAUUUCUUAUGUAAAAUGUGUGACUUCCUGUGGGCUUACCCCUAAAUCCAGGUCGGCGAUUUCUCCUUUCACUAACCCAGCUCAGGACGCCGCUGGCUCCGCGCAUACCCUGCAGUUGGGUUAGCAGUUAUUUCCGGCCUGUUCCUCCUACACUGCGUGCUCCCUGACCUUCAAGUCCACAUCUCCUCUACACAUCAGGAACUGUCACGAACAUGAAUGGAUGAAUGCUAACACAUCGCAUCUAUUGAACACCCAUGGUUGUGUCUAGCCCUUUCUGUAAAAUGGACACCAAGAAAACGCCAACAGAUGCCAUCUAGGUUUGAAUGCCAGUGGCCACGGUAACUGGUCUAGUAAUUCUAUUCCUGUCUUCAGUAUUACUAUCGAACAAUAGGGUUUCUGGGUUCACAGCCCUGAGACAGAGACUCUACGUCUCUCUCUCUCCCCCUGAAAUAGUGUUAAUGAUUUUUAGAUUAAAAAUGAUGUCUGUAAAAUACUCAAACAGUAAACCCAAAGAGGAUGGUUCCCUGUGAUUCAACCCUCAAGAGAUAGACAUUGUUAACAGCCUGCAGUAUCCUCUUCCAGACUUUUCUGUUUGUGCAUUUCAACACAUAUUCAACACACAGAUUAGAUCAUCAUUUCCAUAUGAUUCUGUAAACUACUUCUUUUUUAACCUACAAUAUACCGUAGUCAUCUUUCCAGGUCUACUACAAGGCAUUAUUCUCUUUUCAAUUUCUGCAAGGAACAGGGGUAAAAAGCUCAGUACAUCACUGUUUAACUUUGCUUUUCUUUCAAUUUUUGGUGUGCUCACUCCCGGGCAAAUGGCCAUUAGGGCUGCAAGAAUGACAUCAGUGGUGCACUGCAGGGUUUUCCAGAAGGCUGCACUUGACAUUCUGAAGUGGGAGUUAGGACUCAGUGGUCUGCGCCAUUAACUGUGGAAGUCUGGAGUUUUAAAAAAUUUUCAUAGCAAGGGGAUUAAUUUGAUGAAUUUUAAAGCUACAGUUCUUAAGUGUUGUGAUUUUAUGAUUUAGGAGUCCGUUCUCAACGUAAGCGCAGAAAGAAUGAAAUGGAUAAGGCUGAGUUACCAGCACCACAAGCUUGGGAGAGUGUGUAGGAGGAACUAGACCCACAGGGCUGGUGAACUACCAGGAAACAUCCAAUUCCUCUCCUCUCCAGAGGCAGCAAGGAAGGAUGACCCAGAGAUCCGCCAUCACUGCCUUAUUGCUACUACAGGAGCCCAGAAAUGUGAACCAGUUUCAACUUCUCACAGAAAAUGUUUCUGAGAGGAGAAUGCUUAAGAUCACCUUUCAUUCUAUUCAUGUUUAAAAUGAGCACCUUCAAGAAGUCUUGGGGGCUUCCCUGGUGGCGCAGUGAUUGAGAAUCUGCCUGCCAAUGCAGGGGACACCGGUUCGUGCCCUGGUCUGGGAAGAUCCCACAUGCCGCAGAGCAACUGGGCCCGUGAGCCACAACUACUGAGCCUGCGCAUCUGCAGCCUGUGCUCCGCAACAAGAGAGGCCGCGACAGUGAGAGGCCCGCGCACCGCGAUGAAGAGUGGCCCCCGCUUGCCACAACUAGAGAAAGCCCUCGCACAGAAACAAAGACCCAACACAGCCAAAAAUAAAUGAAUAAAUGGCAUUCCCUUUAAAAAAAAAAAAGUUACUCUUUAAAAAAGAAGAAGUCUUGGACCACUUUGGAUUUGCACUCUUUGUAAUUAAUUGCAGCAUUUUUUAAGAAACAUCUGUUUCCGUAUCAACAAUUACCAAAUUAUUUUAACGGAAGUGCGAAAUCUUUAAAAACGUGGGUCUUCUCAGGAGGCUAAGCCCCGUGCAGGAUCUGACCAUGAAUGUGGACUUCUGGGGGAGAAGGAAAGGGCAAACCUCCAAGGACAAUUCAUACUUUCAACAUAAAAACACAGUGUGUAUCCCACUGGCCAAGAUAACUUUCUGGCUCUUUGGUUUGUACAUAACUUUUUAUUAAGGGCAGGGAGAAAGGCCAAGGGGAAAACAAAGGGGAUUGUGUGUACUUGUGUAAAAGUGACUAGAGCCCAGUGGACGUAAAACACUAAGUGAGAGGGAACACGGUCCCCAGAAGGGCUGCAGUCAUGGAGGUUAAAGAAAGAUCGUGAAGUUGUAAACAAAAGAACAGACUGAGUUUGCCAGAGCAAACUAGGCCUUGAACCUGCAAAGGACUCCAGGGGAAUCACAGAUUCAGACCAGCAGGGGCCUGAGGAAGGGUGCCUGAAAGGGCUGGGCUCUGGAGACAAGACAGCCCGGGUCCAUCCAAGGCUGUUGCCGUGACCUUGAACUCACAGAGCUCCUGUGUUCUCGUCUGUAAAGGGGAGGAAAGGCAUUUCCCUUGGCCGGCCCGAACGAAGAUAAACGAGAUGCUGCCUGGGCAACCAUGACACAGGGCUCAGUACGUGUACUUACUUAGGAGCAGAGUAAAAAGCAAUAAUCUGAGAUGGUGCUGGUCAUUUCACACACAUUCUCCCGUUUUAUGUGCCUGUACAAGCCAUGGGAGGUACGGCUGUUACCAUCACGCCCCCUUCAUGGAGGACAGUGGCCACGGAGAGGUUCCUUUGGAUGCUUCGAAAACCUGCGGACCAGCCAUCGUUCGACUGUUGCUCCCAGAAAUACAGGACGUCGAACGACCUGGUGACGGCUCUGCUGCCGGUGGCGCCAUGGAAACCAAGGAGCCCACAGGGGGCAGCCGGGCCCGUGUACCGUGAUGAAGAGAGGGCUCUUUCCCACCCCUGCAGCCCUCCCCCACCGAGUCCGUCACUUCCUCAACUGGAGUAUCCAUCCAUUCCCUGGAAUUAAUAAGCUAAUCUUCUGGCUCAGAUUAAUGGGAUUAUGUUAUCUGAAGUGCUUAAUUUUCUUCCUUCGGGAAAUACACAGGAAUUUGCUUGGGUGCUGCAGGGAAAGGCUUUCUAGCAGAGAUUUCCAGCUACUAAGAGGAUCGCUGAGAUUAUUUUAUGGCAUAGAUCUUUGACACAAAAAAUGUGCGAACCUAGACGCUGGUACUGAAAGGGACUGAAGAGAGAGAGCGAGCGAUAAGGGGAAGUCAAAUAUUCCAAUUAAAUUUUCUCUAAGAACAGAAAUUUAAUAGAUGCGUUUUAUAUUGGAAAAUCCCCUGACUGUAUACCCUAAGACACACAGAGCAAAUAUUUGGUAACAUAGGUAAUUUAAGAAAUUAAUUUAUCUGUAUAUAGUUUAUGUGAUUGAUCGUUAAAACAAUUGACUUAAUAUUGACACUGCCUGUUAUGGGCCCCUGAUACAACGAAGUACUAGAUUUCAAGAGAAAAAAAAUCAAGACCUUUCCCUAAGAUUCCAUUAGGUAUAAGGAAUAUUCCCACUGUUCCAAAGAAUUGAGAUCACUGCUCUUAUAACAGUGCAUCAUAUUUUUCUCUUUGCUGAUAGUAACCUUAGAGUUAACUGAUUUUGAGGUAAUUUGGUCACAUAAUGGGAUGAUAUCGUAUCUUCAAAGAACGAUUCAAAGAACCGAGUGGCCCAGCAGUGUCUUCAGAUGGACUUUUUUUUUUUAUAUAUAAUAUGCAAUGAAUUGUGAUGAAAUGUGGCACAUGAAGCGUCCAAAGAGAGAAGAGUGUGCUGAGGGAAGUUGGAGUUUAGGGCGCCUGUUUUAAAGUUGUACACGGUGCUCUGCGUAAAACAGAUAACCAACGAGGACCUACUGUACAGCACAGGGAACUCUGCUCGAUACUCUCUAAUAACCUAAAUGGGAAAAGAUGUUGAAAAAGAAUAGACACAUGUAUGUGUAUAACUGAAUUACUUUGCUGUACACCUGAAACUAACACCAUGUUGUUAAUCAACCAGACUCCAAUAUAAAAUAAAAAUUUUUUUAAAAAGAUUAAAAAAAAAGAAGAGCCUCAGUUUUCUCAUCUAUAAAAUGAAGACACUAUUAUCUUCCUUGCCUGAUUGAUGCAAAGAUUAAAUGAGUGUAAGUAAACACCUAAAAACAGACAAACAAGAAAGUUGUAAUUUCGGAGCAAAGUUGACAAAGUGACAUUUGGAAAGUAAAGUUUUCAAUGCAAGAAAAGCAGAAAGACAGCAUCCACCAUAAAGACUAACUUCAGCCCUACCUCCUUCAGACCAAGCCUCUGCAGAGCACGACCUCAAUUUAAAAAAGCCUCGCUGGAGAUGGAUGUAUUAGCGACGGGUCUAGACACAUCUCAGCCACUGUCGCUCUCAGGUCCUGAGCCGACAGGCGGCAGCGUUAGAUUCUGCCUUCCCUCGUGCGCAGCGGGCAGAAGCCUGGCCUAACUUUGAUGCCACUGUGCCCUUGUGACACUCUACAAAGCCUCUGUCCCAGCAGUGGAUGGACCGGCCGGACACAAGUUCUCCUCUCCGAUCGGCUCCAUUUCAGAGCUCAGAGGUGCAUUGCAGGGGGAGUAAUUUGGGAUUCGGUGCCCUGCCUCGGGGUCAGCAUGCCAUGGUCCAGUGAGCAGCCCAGCGGGGCGUGCUGGCCAGGCCAGGAGGUGGUACUUAGGGAGAAAGGGAUCACCAGUCCUCAAGCCCCCCUGUUGCUCGGAGAGAAGCAUCUAGAAAAACAGAGGUGGAAGGGGGCUAGUUCUGGGUUACAAGGAGGGCAGCCAUGGUCAGGACGGUCAUCAUCUGUAACCUUGGGCAGGGCCAGCUCAUCCGACAGUGGGUGCCGGGGCUCGGGCCCACACACUUGUCGCAGCCCACAGAAAAUUUUUUAAAUUUUAGAUAAUUUUAAACUCGGAAGAAAAAAAAUGAACAUAAAGGACUGUCGUCGUGAUGACUAUAUAAUAAUGAAUCCAGCCUGGAUUCCAUCCAUCUUUAUGCCAAUGCUGUUAUAAAAUAUAAUUCUAAUUUUUUUUAAUGGAGAAAGGGACCCAUGAAGGCAGAAGAGUCUGGGGCCCACGGAAGUCCCAGCGCAGCCCUAACUGUCGAUCGUCUGCGCCCUGCACACUUUCAUUGGUUGCAAAGCAGGUCUGCCCCCUCGCCUCCUUUCAGGGCUGUACUGUGUGUGAACCUAAGGCAGUAGGCGUCACACAUUUUUAAAAGAAGAAAACAGGUCCUAUGUUCUCAGGCUCCUUACCGUCUAAGCGGGCGGACAGAGUCAACUGUUAACAACUGGUGCUUUGCAGCCGCUCGUUCACGUGAACGUUUCUCCCACUGAGAGUGAGUUACUGGCGCGUAGAUGAGGCACAAUCGUCAGAUCACUGGGACACCCUUAAAAGGCUUAAUGGAAAGCGUGAUGCAUUUAGAAGCUGGACCUCCUCGGGUCUUGUCUGGAGAAGGAGGGAGGGCCAGGUUGAGGGCGGCGGGUGUGCUCCAGACCCCUGCGUGGCCCCCCGAUGCCAUGUCUCCUGGAACCCCUACCCAUCCUGGGUCGGUCCACCUCAUCUGCAGAAUGUUCUGCUUUUCACUUUUUAAAUCCCUCAAGGGUCCCUUUUCAAUUUCAACUUGUUUGUGGUGUUAAGAGAGCACUUCCGCUACCAAAACACCACCUCUAUUCGGUAAAACAAUUCCAAGCUUGGUCCCUUGUCUCCAUGUACCUAUUCAGACUCUAUGUUUUAGACUGAUUUAUCUUU